rnacentral:rRNA from 1 species
UGCAGUCGAGCGGCAGCAUGAGUCUAUCUGCGCUCGAUAGAUGGCGAGUGGCGAAUGGGUGAGUAAUACAUCGCAACGUGCCCUGAAGUGGGGGAUAACUGGUCAAAAGAUUAGCUAAUACCGCAUACGACCUGAGGGUGAAAGUGGGGGACCGCAAGGCCUCAGGCUGUAGGAUCGGCCGAUGUCUGAUUAGCUAUUUGGUGGGGUAAAGGCCCACCAAGGCCACGAUCACUAUCUGGUCUGAAAGGACGAUCAGCCACACUGGGACUGAGACACGGCCCAGACUCCUACGGGAGGCAGCGGUGGGGAAUUUUGGACAAUGGGCGAAAGCCUGAUCCUGCAAUGCCGCGUGUGUGAAGAAGGCCUUCGGGUUGUAAAGCACUUUUGUCCGGAAAGAAAUUGGCUCUAGUUUAAUACCUGGGGUCGAUGACGGUACCCGGAAGCAAUAAGGACCGGCUAACUACGUGCCAGCAGGCCGCGGUAAUACGUAUGGUCCAAGCGUUAAUCGGAAUUACUGGGCGUGAAGCGUGCGCACGCGGUUGUGCAAGACCGAUUUGAAAUCCCCCGAGCUUAACUUGGGAAUUGCAUUGGUGACUGCACGGCUAGAGUGUGUCAGAGGGGGGUAGAAUUCCACGUGUAGCAGUGACAUGCGUAUACAUGUGGAUGAGUACCGAUGGCGAAGGCAGCCCCCUGUCAUAACACUGACACUGAUGCACGAGAGCGUGGGGAGCAGACAGGAUUAGAUAUCCUGGUACUCCACGCCCUAAACGAUGUCAACUAGUUGUUGGGGAUUCAUUUCCUUAGUAACGUAGCUAACGCGUGAAGUUGACCGCCUGGGGGAGUACGGUCGCAAGAUUAAAACUCAAAGGAAUUGACGGGGACCCGCACCAGCGGUGGAUGAUGUGGAUUAAGUUAGAUGCUAACGCGAAAAAACCUCACCUAACUCCUUGACAUGCCACUAAUCGAAGCAGAGAUGCUUUAGGUGCUCGAAAGAGAAAGUGGACACAGCUGCUGCAUGGCCGUCGUCAGCUCGUGUCUUGAGAUGUUGGGUUAAGUCCCGCAACGAGCGCAACCCUUGUCUCUAGUUGUUACGAAAGGGCACUCUAGAGAGACUGCCGGUGACAAACCGGAGGAAGGUGGGGAUGACGUCAAGUCUUCAUGGCCCUUAUGGGUAGGGCUUCCCACGUCAUCCAAUGGUGCAUACAGAGGGUUGCCAAGCCCCGAGGUGGAGCUAAUCCCAGAAAAUGCAUUGUAGUCCGGAUCGUAGUCUGCAACUGGACUACGUGAAGCGGGAAUCGUUGGUAAUCGCGGAUCAGCAUGCCGCGGUGAAUACGUUCCCGGCUCUUGUACACACCGCCCGUCACACCAUGGGAGUGGGCUCUACCAGAAGUAGUUAGCCUAACCGCAAGGAGG